rnacentral:rRNA from 1 species
UACAGAGGUCCCGAGCGUUGUUCGGAUUCACUGGGCGUAAAGGGUGCGUAGGUGGUGAGGUAAGUCGGAUGUGAAAUCUCCGGGCUCAACCCGGAAAUGGCAUUGGAAACUACCUUGCUGGAGGAUUUGAGGGGGGAUUGGAAUACUUGGUGUAGCGGUGGAAUGCGCAGAUAUCAGGAGGAACACCGAUGGCGAAGGCAGGUCACUGGGCCGCAACUGACGCUGAGGAGCGAAAGCAUGGGGAGCGAACAGG